ACUAUUUGUAUCUCAAAAUAACUAAAUGAUUUUAUUUAUCAAAUUGGUAAAAGAAAUUCAAUUUUCCUUUACAAUGUAGAAAGUAUAUUAAUUUCCAAAUAAUUAAACUUUAAUAGUAUAAAAUUAUUAUUAAUACUUUAAAAAUUAUAGGUAGUAUUAUAGACAGUAGAUAACGUUUCUUUGACAUUAUAAAAAAAAAUUAAAAAAAAAAAAUUUCGCUAUUUUAUUUUUGAUCCUUAAAAGAGAUGGCUUAACAAAAAACAGGGGUUGAAAAGGAAGAGGGGGUGGAAAAUGAUUGCUUGUGGUUGGGGUGCGGACGCGAUCAUCCCUCGGCUUGACACGAAUUUUCCCCAAAGCCGCUAUUUCUGGCCCCAGGGAAUCGUGACGAGGAUGAAAGAAGAAAGAAGAACGGAAGUGGAUGUUUGCCGUCUGUUCGCCUCUGUCACUUGAUCACCUAAACGCGAGUUCCAUUUGUCUCGUUCGAUUUUUUAUCCGAUACUUAGAGAAACGAUGAUUUCAUAGCUUCUUGUCGAGGUUUAUUUGUAGAUGCAGCAAACGUCGAAUAAGAAUGUUGAAGAUAAAACAUUUUGAAUUGGUUUCCCUAUAAUAAUAAGGAUAAAAUAGUAAAAAUAGAAAAAAAAAUAUAUGUAUACAAUUACAAGCAAGUGGAUUUUCAUAUCGUUUAAGCUUAUCAUUGCAAAUAACUUAAUAAUAGUGUUUUGCGUUAGUCGUUUCUUGUAAUCUCUCUUCGUUUAAACCCAAAAGUGUUCAAAUUUAGCGCCACCUAAAAUCCUUAGAUAUUUUAAGAUUUCGUGCAGAAAAUCGCGAUAAUAUAAUCACGAUUAUUUCAGUAGUUACACGCCACUUUUUUGCCUAUUUUGAGCAGUAAGAAGUAAGAAUUUCAAUUUUCUAAUCAAUAUCAAUUUUCAAAUCGAAUGUUGGUCUAGAAGUGAGUGAACAUUCGUCUCUCGUUAUUAUUAUUCUUUAUCAAUUUUAGCUUUGUAAUAUUUAUUAUUAAAUAUUACAUAUAUCUUCUGAUUAACCUAUCACGAAAAAUAGUUAAAUAGUUAAAAUUCUUUAUCUAUAUUGAAUUAUAAUUUCAAUCAAUAACAUCGAAUUAAUUGUUUUAGAUUAGGUUAGGUUAGGUUAGAUUAAGUUGCAUUAUAUUUGAAUUAGUUAAUCUUUAUCCGCUCUAAAAUUUUUGCAAAGGAAAAAUCAUCUCAGAAAUAUUCAAUUAAGUUUUAUUAAUUAACUUCUGAAACACGUUUAUUCAGAUAUACAUUUACACACACACACACAAAAUCGUUAUACAUGUUGGUGGGCGAUUGGUCUUUGAGCACGGUGAUUUCUUUGAGCGCGAUAAGGUUACCAGGACAGAAUGAACCGAGAUCGAAACAAUACAGAAAAAUCGGUCUGUUAACAGAGAAAUCGUGUGCACUAAUUGUCGCCACGCGUUCACGUUUCCUAAUUAAUUUCUUCACAAUUGUUUUUCACAACCUUCUUGUCGCUUGUUCCUUUCUCGAAGCAAUGACUGAGACGCAAAGAAAGAGAGAGACAGAGAAUAAAAAGUGAGUGAUUUAGAAGAAAAAGAAAAAAAAAAAAAUAAAAAUAAAAAGAAAACGGAAAGUCGUGACACGGAUUUCUUUCUUUAUUUCGUGAUUGAAUGAAAUCUGAAAAUCGACCUGAAGAAAAACUUCUGCGCAUUCUUCCGCGCACACUCUAUCGGUGACUAAUUAAAUUUCGUCACGACCCACUCUCCUCCAUCUUUUGCUUUCGUUUCGUUUCUGCUUUCUUCGGUAGCUUUAUGGAUAAAUCUUUCGAUUAUUUUUUAAUGUUCUUUUUUUAUUCGUUGUGUUUCCAAAAAAUAUUUGAUUAAUGAAAAAAGUUAUCUUUAAAUUUUGUUAAGUUAAGGUUAAAAUUAACCUUCAAGUAUGUGUAAAUAUCUUCAUUGUUGAAAAGGUUAUAAUAAGAAUUUUUUAUUGAUAUUAUAUCAUAUUGCAUAUGAUAUUGCAUAUAUUGUUGGAUUAAACUUUAUUACUUUUUAUUAUAUUAACUAUUUAGAGAUGAGUCUCUCGAUUUUGAUUCUCAACAUAUUGAAAAUAUUUUCUAUAUAAAAUGAGAUUAUAAAUUGAGAAUAUUAUAUAAAAUAUUGUUAGUAUAUGAAAGAUAAAAAAGAAUAUUGUUUUAUAAAAAUAUACAUAAUAUAAUAAUAUAAUAAUAAAUAAUAUUAUUUAAAAUAAAAUUUGUAAUAUAACAAAUUUGUAUUUGUGAAAAAUGUAUGGAUGUUUCAAAAAUCAGUAUCUCCUUCUUCGAAAAAAUAAAAAAAAAUACCUAUCAAAAUAUUGAUCUAAUUCCGGGAAAUUAAAGCAAACAUUUGGAAAUGGAAUAGGCAAUCGGCGAAAAACGGAACCGAUAAUCGAGACAGUGGUGUGACGCCUCAUUUCCCAGUGAAAUUUAAUAGAGUUUCUUCGUGCAUUGUGCGUUUGCCGGGUGCGAUCAUUGAAAAUUGCCGAUAUUCCACGACGAGGGUGGAAUACGGAACGAUCCAGUUGAAUGACAACGAGAUAACCGAAUCAACGACGGUAUCUCCGUUAUUAGGAGGCCGACGAUUCUCUCGAAUAAUGGCCCUGCCUCUGCUACGUGCCUGUACAUACUCGAUGCGUUUUCGUGGAAAAUGCGAACGUCAUAUGAAUCGAUCAGAAUUUUUUUUACAAUUUCAAAUUUUUCAUCGAAUUUUAAAUUUUCUUUUCGAAUUUUUCAUUAAUAUUUCAUUACUUUGUUAAAAAGAAAUAUUAAGAUAUAUAUUUUUAUUGACAGAAAUUCCUCAGUAAAUAUAUUUAGAUAUAUAUACAUUUUUUUAAAUUAAAGUUUUUCCAUGUAAAAGAAUCUUUUAAUACUAAAAAUAAAAAACUCGAAGUAAUAUUUUA